rnacentral:misc_RNA from 1 species
GAUGAAGAACGUAGCGAAAUGCGAUACUUGGUGUGAAUUGCAGAAUCCCGUGAACCAUCGAGUCUUUGAACGCAAGUUGCGCCCGAAGCCAUCAGGUUGAGGGCACGUCUGCCUGGGCGUCACAUAUCGUUGCCCAAUGCCUAUUGCAGUGCGAUAGGAAUUUCUAGGGCGAAUGAUGGCUUCCCGUGAGCGUUGUUGCCUCGCGGUUGGUUGAAAAUCGAGUCCUUGGUAGGGUGUGCCAUGGUAGAUGGUGGUCGAGUUAGAACGAUACCGAUCAUGUGCAUGCUCCCCAAAAUAUGGCCUCUAUGACCCACACGCGUCUUUUGACGCUCAUGACGAGACCUCAGGUCAGGCGGGGCUACCCGCUGAAUUUAAGCAUAUCAAUAAGCGGAGGA